CAUUUAUAAAUAAGUUAUAGUCUGCUGCUUUCACUUGCUAAAGCUAACCAAAAUGUAACGUGCUUCUGAGAGUUGGAUCAAGCUUGCAUCCCGAAAAAUAUAAUUGCAAGAUCCAUUGUCCAUUUACCAAGCGAUACUGCCACGUUUAUCUUUGGAAGACUGCGUUUUAAUCAAACUGCUCUUGCAAGGCACGGCUAUAUCAUUGUAAAAAGAAUAGAAGAAUCCACCAGAUUCCACCAGACACACUGCAG